CCCAGACUCCUACGGGAGGCAGCAGUGGGGAAUAUUGCACAAUGGGGGAAACCCUGAUGCAGCGACGCCACGUGAGUGAAGAAGUAUUUCGGUAUGUAAAGCUCUAUCAGCAGGGAAGAUAAUGACGGUACCUGAGUAAGAAGCCCCGGCUAACUACGUGCCAGCAGCCGCGGUAAUACGUAGGGGGCAAGCGUUAUCCGGAUUUACUGGGUGUAAAGGGAGCGUAGACGGCAUGGCAAGUCUGAAGUGAAAGCCCGGGGCUCAACCGCGGGACUGCUUUGGAAACUGUUAAGCUGGAGUGCAGGAGAGGUAAGUGGAAUCCCUAGUGUAGCGGUGAAAUGCGUAGAUAUUAGGAGGAACACCAGUGGCGAAGGCGGCUUACUGGACUGUAACUGACGUUGAGGCUCGAAAGCGUGGGGAGCAAACAGGAUUAGAUACCCCAGUAC
rnacentral:rRNA from 1 species